GAUGAAGAACGCAGCGAAAUGCGAUAAUUAAUGUGAAUUGCAGAAUUUAGUGAAUCAUCGAAUCUUUGAACGCACAUUGCGCCCCUUGGUAUUCCGGGGGGCAUGCCUGUCCGAGCGUCAUUACAACCCUCAAGCUCAGCUUGGUGUUGGGCCCCGCCGCCCCGGCGGGCCCUAAAGUCAGUGGCGGUGCCGUCCGGCUCCAAGCGUAGUAAUUCUCUCGCUCUGGAGGUCCGGUCGUGUGCUCGCCAGCAACCCCCAAUUUUUUUCAGGUUGACCUCGGAUCAGGUAGGGAUACCCGCUGAACUUAAGCAUAUCAAUAAGCGGAGGA
rnacentral:misc_RNA from 1 species